rnacentral:rRNA from 1 species
GUGCCAGCAGCCGCGGUAGUACGGAGGGUGCAAGCGUUAUCCGGAAUUACUGGGUUUAAAGGGUGCGUAGGCGGCCUGGUAAGUCUGGGGUGAAAGUUUGCCGCUCAACGGUAAAAUUGCCUUUGAUACUGUCAGGCUUGAAUAGGCGCGAGGCAGGCGGAAUGUGACAUGUAGCGGUGAAAUGCAUAGAUAUGUCAUAGAACACCAAUUGCGAAGGCAGCUUGCCAGAGCCUUAUUGACGCUGAGGCACGAAAGCGUGGGGAGCGAACAGGAUUAGAUACCCUGGUAGUCCACGCCCUAAACGAUGCUUACUCGACGUGCGGUUUUCGGAUUGUGCGUCCAAGCGAAAGCGCUAAGUAAGCCACCUGGGGAGUACGACCGCAAGGUUGAAACUUAAAGGAAUUGGCGGGG